rnacentral:snRNA from 1 species
AUGUUGGCCAACAAGGAG